rnacentral:lncRNA from 1 species
AAAUAGUUUUUUUUAAUGAUUUGGGGCCACUUAUGAAGAGUAGUCUGGCUCCAGGUGAUGAAAUUUAGUGUCAACACCAUUACUUAUUCAGAUUUAAAGUGAAAGAAAUAGCAUUUUACCCAUAAAAUUGGAUAGUGAGACAGCUUCCGGAUCCUCACCAUCUGUUCACUUGUGCUCUUCCAGGCUCUGUAUCUGUGAAAGUUUGGGUACCAGAGCUAGUUCCUGCAGAAGGUCCCAAGUAUUUGUUUUGCUGGAGACGGGAGUCUUUUUUUUCUAGAUAUGUGAUAGAUUUUAGAUCCCUGGCUCUCUGUCUUUGUGUUGUUUCCCAUCAAAAAAGUCACCUAAUGAAACGAUUUAGUUCAAUUAAGCAGAAAAUCACCUGAUUUCGUUACAGGGAAGUGGAGCCAAGCGAAGCUGGGUGGCUCCUCCCAAAGGAACAUGUAUGUAGUCCCAACGGUCAGUUCAGCUGUAUGCUUCAACUAGCUCCUGAGUAAACUGUCUCUUCCAGAGGACCUGGUCUUUGGGUUUUAGGAUGUUCUGGAUUCAGGAGGCCUCUGAGGAAAGACUGCUGCACCUGACAAUGAUGAGCCUGGGUGUAUUGCAUGGGCCUCAUGCAGUGCUUGGUCAUGUCUGCUUGCUCGUGCUGUGCGGGGUCUAGCAUGCGUCGUAGUAUUCCUAGAUGCCUGGGCCUGUUCCUCACUCCUGAGGCAAGAGCUGAUAAACCCCAGGGGAGUCAGUAAAGCCAAUGGGAAUAUCUUAGACCCUAGAGCUUUGAGUCUCUGAGGGCUUUGCUAAACUGAGUUUCAGAAUUCCGCUUAUUCUUUCGACUCUUCUUGGAAAUUGGGCACAAUAUGGAUGACACACUUUCCGAGUAAGUGGUAGGGCUUUACAAAGCUCUUUAAUUAAAGUCAGAGGAAAAUCAGUGCCCCUGUCAUGAGAGAGAAAGAGAGAGAGAGAGAGAGAGAUUUGAAUUCCUCAGGUUGGGGGCCUGGAAUCAGGUAAUCUUUUUCCUACUGCAGAACCAGAGCUUUCUGGCAAGAAAAACUUCAGUCGAUCCUGAGAAUAAACAAUGACCAGGGUGCAUUUAAAACCCAUAGCAGGUGCGCUUGUAGGAAAUCCGUCCGAAGAUGUUCAAAGAGGACCUGAAUCUGGGGCUUUUGCCCACGUUCAGCCUAUACAGUUUUAGCAGGGUUAUACAGGUAACAUGAAACAUGCAUCAGAGACACCACCAGCAAUUUUAGGGGUUUCCCUACUGUGAUGGUUAAUUCUAUGUGUCAGGUUCACCAGGCUGAGGGAUGCCCAGAGCGCUGGUAAAACGUUAUUUCUGGGUGUGUCUGUGAGGGUGUCUCUGGAAGACAGUAGCGUUUGGAUCAGCAGACUGAAUAAAGCUGACGGCCUCACCAGUUUGGGUCAAAUCACCUGAGGGCUGGAAUAGAACAGAGAGGCUGAGGAAGGUGAAUUCUUUCUCCUCUUCCCUUAGAUAUCAGAGUUCCUGGCUUGGGGCCUUCAGACUCAGACUGAAUUAUAUUACUGGCUGUCCUGUUUCUCCAGCUUGUGGAUAGCAGAUCCUGGGACUUGCUGGCCUUCAUAAGCAUGUGAUGUUCACUUCGGUCACUUGAUUAAGAUGUUGUAUGCGAGGUUUCCGCACUGUAAGGUGAGUAUUUUCCCUUUGUAAUUAGUAAGCAUCUUGUAAGGAGAUACUCUGAGACUCCGCAAAUAUCCUGUUUCUUGUAUUUCUUUGCCUACUGAUUUACCAUCCAUUGAUGUGUCGACACAAAUAAUUCAUAGUCAAUCUAUAGAUCAGAAUUGGGGUGAGUUUAUUACGAGCCAGGUCUCCUUUAUCCAACCACUCCCCGUGGAUGGCCGUGAGCAUCUAGGCAGCUUCUAAUAGUUUGCAAUUACAGACAAUGCUGCAAUGAAUAACAUUGUGCAUAUUCAUUCUGUAUUCUUGGAGAUUUAUCUUCAGAGUAGAUUCCUGAAAGUGAGAUUGCUGAGGCAAAAGUUUAACGCAUAUAAGUUUUUAAGUAUUGUCAAGUUCCUUCCUGAAGGGUUGUACCCAUCUUCGUCCCCCCAGCAGUGUGUGGGGGUGUUUCCCGCAGCCUUGCUAGCAGAAUGCUCGCGCUCUCUAGUCUGCCAGUCUGAUAGGUAAGAAAUGGUGUCUCAGUGUCGUUUUAAUUUACAUUUCUCUAACUACAUUUUGAAAAAUAUAUUUAAGGGCCAUUUAAUAUUUUGGGGGUGAAUUGUUUCUUCUUCGCCCCCUUUUACGGGGUUUGUGGCCCUUUCUCCUGUGGUUCCCCAGAGCUCCUUACCUGUUGGUGUGUCUGCUGCGCAUACUGUCCCAGUUUACCGGUUGUCUUUGCCUUUGUUUAUGGGGUUUUGCUGUGCGUCCUGUUUGUUUUAUGUGGGCAGAUGAUCGGUCUUUUCUUUUGUUGCCUCUGUACUUUAACUCGUCGUGUCUACACUGAGAUUGAAGAGGAAUUUACUCUUAUUUUCCUCUAGUUCUUGUAUAGUUUUGUUUUUGCACUUAGCUAUCUGAUACAUGGAUUUAUUCCUUUGUGUGACAUGAAAUGCAGAUCUAAUUUUAUGUUUUUUUCCAAGUGGCUGCCCAGUUGUCCUGGCACCACUUAAGAAAAGUCCAUCUUUGCCCCAGGGAGUUGAGACGUCACUUUUAUCAGGUACUAAAUCGCAUGAAGUCACCUUUAAAAAUCCAUCUUUGCUCUCGUUGUGCUUGGUCAUGGUGUGGUUGGUCUCAUGCUGUCUGUUCAUUGCCUGAGGGCCCAGAUUCGUGCUUGUUCUUCUGAAAGAAUAACUACCGCACCAAUAAUCUUGAAAGCCAGAGGAACUCACCUUCUGGCCAUGUAUGUAUGAAACACUGUCACCUGAACUGAACCCACAGCUCUGAGACGCUGCCCCUCGGGAAGACGCUGCGGUGUCUGUCUGCUCUGGACGAAGCUUCCUCCGUGAGUCUCGGGCUGCUCUGGAAGCACUGUGUGGAAAGCUUGAGCAUCGGCCUCCUGAGCACCGGCUCUGACAAGGGUCCUUGUUGGUUCCUUGAAUGUUUCCUGAGUUCAGCCGCUGGAUCCAGGUUGGCGUUCUGUGAUGCUGUGAUUACUGCCAGAGCAGAGUCAUCAGAAUUAUGAGGCAGGUUAACUUUCGUGGGCACCUACGCCCCGAGUACAGAGUUGCCAGGUGACAAUGAGAUCCCAUUAAAAUCUGGAAUCUGGGAACUAUGUCCAGAUGCUGUCCUUCCAGAAAGACUUCACACUGAUGUGAGGAGGAGCCGUCCUGCAGAGUCCUCCCGUCUUCGCAGCAAACGGGGAGCUGUCUGGAGGAGUAGAACAUGGG